rnacentral:rRNA from 1 species
AGUGGCGAACGGGUGAGUAACACGUGGGUAACCUGCCCAUCAGAAGGGGAUAACACUUGGAAACAGGUGCUAAUACCGUAUAACAAUCGAAACCGCAUGGUUUCGUUUUGAAAGGCGCUUUACGGUGCCGCUGAUGGAUGGACCCGCGGUGCAUUAGCUAGUUGGUGAGGUAACGGCUCACCAAGGCCACGAUGCAUAGCCGACCUGAGAGGGUGAUCGGCCACAUUGGGACUGAGACACGGCCCAAACUCCUACGGGAGGCAGCAGUAGGGAAUCUUCGGCAAUGGACGAAAGUCUGACCGAGCAACGCCGCGUGAGUGAAGAAGGUUUUCGGAUCGUAAAACUCUGUUGUUAGAGAAGAACAAGGGUGAGAGUAACUGUUCACCCCUUGACGGUAUCUAACCAGAAAGCCACGGCUAACUACGUGCCAGCAGCCGCGGUAAUACGUAGGUGGCAAGCGUUGUCCGGAUUUAUUGGGCGUAAAGCGAGCGCAGGCGGUUUCUUAAGUCUGAUGUGAAAGCCCCCGGCUCAACCGGGGAGGGUCAUUGGAAACUGGGAGACUUGAGUGCAGAAGAGGAGAGUGGAAUUCCAUGUGUAGCGGUGAAAUGCGUAGAUAUAUGGAGGAACACCAGUGGCGAAGGCGGCUCUCUGGUCUGUAACUGACGCUGAGGCUCGAAAGCGUGGGGAGCAAACAGGAUUAGAUACCCUGGUAGUCCACGCCGUAAACGAUGAGUGCUAAGUGUUGGAGGGUUUCCGCCCUUCAGUGCUGCAGCUAACGCAUUAAGCACUCCGCCUGGGGAGUACGACCGCAAGGUUGAAACUCAAAGGAAUUGACGGGGGCCCGCACAAGCGGUGGAGCAUGUGGUUUAAUUCGAAGCAACGCGAAGAACCUUACCAGGUCUUGACAUCCUUUGACCACUCUAGAGAUAGAGCUUCCCCUUCGGGGGCAAAGUGACAGGUGGUGCAUGGUUGUCGUCAGCUCGUGUCGUGAGAUGUUGGGUUAAGUCCCGCAACGAGCGCAACCCUUAUUGUUAGUUGCCAUCAUUUAGUUGGGCACUCUAGCAAGACUGCCGGUGACAAACCGGAGGAAGGUGGGGAUGACGUCAAAUCAUCAUGCCCCUUAUGACCUGGGCUACACACGUGCUACAAUGGGAAGUACAACGAGUCGCGAAGUCGCGAGGCUAAGCUAAUCUCUUAAAGCUUCUCUCAGUUCGGAUUGUAGGCUGCAACUCGCCUACAUGAAGCCGGAAUCGCUAGUAAUCGCG